rnacentral:rRNA from 1 species
AUGGAGUUAGUAACCGGCAUUACUUCUGUUGUACGACCGCUCGUGAAGGCGGAGUGCGUGCGGCUGGAGGGGAUUGCUGUGGAGGUGACCUUUUUUUACAUAGGGAGAGAGCACCCAGCUCAUCCUCCGGAGCAGUGGCCCGGGCACGUUGGGCCAACGACGAUGCGCGGGGAAACUGAGCACUGCCGCACUGAUGAUAAACUGGGGGCUACGGGGCGAGGGCACGGGGCGCUGGUGGCUCGUCAGAGGGUCCAAGACGGCGAGGUCAAAGGCCUCCGUGGUCGAGUUGGUGGUGGCGAAAAGGGCGCGGCCAUGGCGGCAGUCCAUGAGAACCCAGUCGGGAUGGUCAGGCUGGGCAGGGAGGGGGGCGGAGGUGGGGACGAAGUGGUCGUGCUCGUCGAAGACUCCCUAGACGGAAGCAAUUCGGUGGAACUCGCGGUAGCGGCGGUGAAAGCCCGCAUCGGUGAGGAUGCGGCGCCAUGGCUUGCAGACGACCGAUGCGCGGAAGAGGGAGGCGAGGUCGUCCAGUGGAAGGCGGAAAAGGACCUCCUCAACGAGAUCCGGCGGAAGGCGGAGGAAGACGUCCUCUACAAGCUCGGCCAUCAGCGGCGGCGGCGGCGGAGGCUAGGGUUUGGGCAGGGGAAGAGUGUGGAGUAG